AUGGCAAGAGCAGGAUGUAGAUGGAACAGCAAGUGCAGAUGGCAAGAAGACAGAAACCAAUGUUUGCUCCAUUCCAAGUACCAUUUGGCUAACCCCAUUCUGCUAAGCCACAAAGCCACACUAAAGGAAGGGACUGAUAAUACCAGCCACAUGGGGCAGGACCUCUCCAAGGUCACAGAUUCUCUGUCCUUUCUCUGUGGCUCCCCUCCAAGGAUACACGUGGGCAAGGUUUCCAUUCACAUGGGGACAAAGAGAAAGAGAAAAAGCAUUUCACAAUUACUGUUUAAGAUAAGUGAAUUAUUUAAGUUGUAAAAAAGACUCAGGAGAGGGCUGGUUGCAUUUAGCUGCACUCCUUCUAUACAAAUGUGUUUAAAAAACAAAGACAUGGGGACAAAAGGGAAUGAUGAGAAAACAGCAGCAAAGCAACGUUGACAGUUUAAAAUCAGAAGGACUAGAGAGGCAGCUUGCAUGUCCAGUCCCAGGACAGCUGAACCUGGAGACCGCACUGUGCAGGCUAAGCAACAAUCCACUUUGCUCUAGAGAGCCUAUGGCCUCAAGCAUUGGUAGUGCAGGAACAUCUAGAGGAGGGAGACACAGUGGAGAAAAACUAGAAAGUACAUUGUGAUUUUCUUCAAGGACAUUUUUUAAAAACAGUACUUAUUUAUUUAUUCUUACUUAUUUGAAAGGCAGAGAGACAAGGAAGAGAGACAGAGACAGAGACAGAGAUCUUUCUUCCACUGGGUCACUCCCUAUACACCCACAAUAGCUGGGACUGGACACGGAUGAGGCUGGGAACUUAGACCUCAAUGCAAGUCUCCCAUGUUCAUGGCAGAAACCCAACUACUCCAGCCAUCACCUGGUGUGCAUCUGCAGGAAGCUGUAAUUCAGAGCAUAGCUGGAACUCAAACAGGCAAUGAUUGCUCUAUGGGAUAUGGGUGUCCCAACCAGCGUCCUAACUGCCAUGUCAAAUGCCAGUUCCUUCAACCAUUUCACAUGGCCAGACAACUGCCUCUGUCCCACUCCAGAAAAAGAUUGGAGGAUUUAUGUUCAAAAUGAGAGAAAACAGAUAGGUCUAUUACUAGUGAAAAGUAGAAGUAUGUUAGUAAAAAUGGGUACUAAGUGAAAUUUUACUUAUUAAUAUUCAGAUUGCGAAAGACUAGCAGAUAAUUCUCUACGAUUCUGAUUAACUUGACUGAGAAGUCAUGAUUUGGGAAAGUCUUUGUUGAGAUAGUCUAAACAACCCAAAUUUGAAAAGUAUCAUCUGUAUAAAGAAUUUCCAUGGAGCCCUGGUACCACAUUCUUCAAUCUGAGCAGAUGGGUAAGGACAUGCACACUUUGGAGUAAAUAAGCUAACACACAAAACAAAAACCAAAGAACAUAGAAGGAAAUUUAAGGGAAACACAAACGAUACAUGGAGGACUUCAAACAUCAACAAUAUUGUCAUAUCAUCAGAGAAAAUGGGAACUAUUCUAUCAAGAACAGCACGAGGGGCCAGCGCUGUGGCAUAGCUGGUAAAGCCACUGCCUGCAGCGCUGGCAUCCUGUAUGGGUGCUGGUUCAAGUCCCGGCUGCUCUACUUUCAAUGUAGCUCUCUGCUGUGGCCUGGGAAAGCGGUGGAAGUUGGCCCAAGUGCUUGGGCCCCUGCAUGGGAGACCCAGAAGAAGCUCCUGGCUUCUGGCUUCAGACCAGCACAGCUCCGGCCAUUGUGGCCAUCUGGGCAGUGAACUAGUGGAUGAAAGACCUUUCUCUCUCUCUCUCUCUCUGCCUCUGCCUUUCUGUAACUCUGCCUUUCAAAUAAAUAAAUAAAUCUAUAAAAAAGAAAAAAGAAC
rnacentral:lncRNA from 1 species